ensembl:rRNA 5S_rRNA 5S ribosomal RNA
GCUUACGGACAUACCACCCUGAGCACGCCCGAUCUCGUCUGACCUCGGAAGCUAAGCAGGGUCGGGUCUGGUUAGUACUUGGAUAGGAGACCGCCUGGGAAUACCAGUUGCUGUAAGCU